UUCAGCCUGGGGUUGGUGCCGCUGAGGGGAGGGCGAACGGCCUCGCGUACGUCAGCCCGGGAUCCAGAGCGAGCCUCGAGCCUAGUGGCUGCGAGCAGUAACCUCCCAACAUUUGAAUCCCACGUUUUUCCUUCGACUUCCUGUCACCGUUAGAAAAAAGCGGACAGCGUCUCCAGCUCAGAGUUGGAGAAAUACCCCUGGGACCCUAAGUUUGCUCCGGGAAGGCGUUUCCCUCAACCGAGCAAGCUCCGAAAUGGCCUUUGCCGGCUCAGCUGGCGGGGAUUAACCGAGCCGGGCUCACGAAAGGCGGUCGUCGUGAGGGCCCCCCUCUACCCUUAGCGUGCCCCGCUGUUUGUUUUUAAACGCCGGUGGCGGGAACUGGUGAGCCCGCGGGAACUCCUGCAGCUCGGCCGGCGGUCGGAGGUCGGGAGCGAGCUGGACGGGAUGCUGCUGCUUGCGGGCAGGAGGUUGCAAGAAAGAGUUUCAGCCUCUCAGCUCUACUGAGCCUGCCGGGGGCCGAACGCAGCGCUCCACAAACGGGAGGAGAUGGAAGACACGGCCUCAGCCCCCGGAGCGCACACCCGGGGGGCGAGACCCAGCCCAGGACAGACACUCUCAGUGUCUCCCGCUACAGGCCGAGCUGCCUGGCGUGUGGAGGAAGCCCCCACCAGGGAGUGACAGCUGAGCUGGAUCUUGAAGGAUGAGUAAGAGUUCCCCAGUUUUGAGAUGAGUGGGAGGGGUGUCGCAAGCAGAGGAAGCGAAGAGGAAGAGGAGCUGGUCUGAGUAAUUCGAGUGAAAAUAGAUUUCGCACCAAGAACUCUGUUGAAAAACUUUUCAUCAUUGCUUAGUUCCGAAGAGAAAAAACUUCCAGGCUCCCACGUGUGAUAACCGAAGUGUUUUCCAAACCAGUGUUUAUCCUGAGGAGGUGAGCAGUUGCACGGUACAGUGUAGUGAACAUGCUCUUCCUCGUCUAAGGACACUUAGAGAUCAGAGACCUGAGGGACACAGAAGUUAUUGUCAUAGUACACCAAGUUAUUAUUGCCGACAUUCUGCUAAACUGGAAAGUGCUAGUAAUAUUUGAAGAUUUCUACGUAAGAAGAGCCAUCUAACAGGAAUUUUGUAAUACAGGUGACCUCAUGGAGAAACUUCCCCAAAAAUCCUCAGGCAACAAAACAACAACCACCUCACCAGUCUUGACUUAUUAUCGAAAUGUUCUUGUAGAAGCUAAACUCAAGAAAGGAACUGAUAAACACAUCAAUAGAAUAGAAGAAACAGAGCUCAAAAAUAUACCUAUGUUCAGGACAUCAGCAAGAUGGUGGAAUAGGAAGUCCCAGCCCUCGUCCCCUCACAGAAACACUGAUUUAACAAUGAUAUACAGAAAGCAAAAUACCUUUAUGAGAAGUCUGGAAUCCAUAUGAGAAGUUGUAGUGCCCUGGAGGACCACAAAACCAAGAACAGCCACAUUGAAAUGGUGGCCAUGGCAGAAAAAUUCAGAAAGGACUCCAUAUGUCCCAUCUGCCAGACUAUUUCCAAGGUCCCUGUUGGACAUUCUGCAAACAUGACUAUUGCUUCACCAGCUUCAGGCAUUUGGGAGAAUCAGGAUAGCCUUUUCACUUCUCCCCAGUGUCUUUACAUCUCUUGGAUCCAGAGAAUCCAGACCAACAUGACCCUGGGGAAACUGGUGGGUGAGAUCAAAGUAAGGAUGCCUAUGAUGAGCAUGUGCUGCUGGAUGCUCAGAUUCUAUGUCAAUAUGACUCUGGAUCCAGCCACAGCCAAGGACCUCCUCACAUUCUCUUAAUGACCUGCAGUGCAUCAGAUAUGAGUAGGUCCAGACGAGACCACCAGAGAACGCCAAAACAGUCUUCUCCGCUGCUUGUGUCCUGGGGUCCUCCUGUUCACCUCUGGCUCCCGCUAUUGGGAGGUGGAAGUUAGAGGAACAUUGGAACAGGCUGUGGAUGUUUGCAGGGAAGCUGCAUAUCACAAAGGACCUUUCUUAGUAUCUUCAGAUCUGGGGUUCUGAGUUGCGAACCUCAAGGGAUGACAUGAAGCCACUGCCAACACAGAAACUGGGACUAUCCUCUACAUGAACCCAAACUUGCAGAUAAGAUUUUCAACGCCAUUGAUGGUUUCCAUUUAUACACCUUCACAAAUAUAUCUUCCUCGGAGCCUCUGUGUCCACUUUUCUGUCCUGGGAUCCCAAGAGAGGGUGAGAAUGUGAAACCCAUGGAAAUCUGUGCCAAGGAAACUAUAGUUGUUGAAUUUGAUCAUAGUCCUUGUAAGGAGACAUGUGAACUCUGUCCAAAAUGAAGAGCAUAUGGGGUGAAACUGAUGGAUCGUAUACUCCUGAACUCUAUCUGACACUACCAGGAGUUUAGGUGGUUGAGAAAACCAUCCAGUUUGUUUUACUGAAAAGGAAGCCUUAGGAUAAGAAUUGCAAAAAUAAAUCAUUAAUUUUUAAAACCUUUCUUUUUUUAAAAAAUUUUAAUCAUGUGUUUUUUAAAUGCAAUAUAUCCAAAAAAAUAUGGGAGGCUUCCCAAAUUUGCAUGUCAUCCUUGCGCAGGGACCAUGCUAAUCUUGUCUGUAUCAUUCCAAUUUUAGUAUAUGUGCUGCCGAAGCAAGCAUUAAAACCUUUUUUAAUUCUAAAUACAGUAGUCCCCCCUUAUCCGUGGGGGAUACCCAAGAC
rnacentral:lncRNA from 1 species